rnacentral:precursor_RNA from 15 species
AGCUCUCUCCUCCUCAUGAUUGGCGUAUUCCAAGGUACCUGAGGUCCUCUUAUUUUAUAUUGACUGUAAGAGGCUCCAGCUCCCUUUGUUUACCCCAAUAGAAAACUCCACUACCACUG